rnacentral:rRNA from 1 species
UCGAGAAUUUUUCACAAUGGGCGAAAGCCUGAUGGAGCGACGCCGCGUGGGGGAUGAAUGGCUUCGGCCCGUAAACCCCUGUCAUUCGCGAUCAACCCUUAUUAUUUAAAAGAUGAUAAGCUGAUAGUAGCGGAAGAGGAAGGGACGGCUAACUCUGUGCCAGCAGCCGCGGUAAUACAGAGGUCCCAAGCGUUGUUCGGAUUCACUGGGCGUAAAGGGUGCGUAGGUGGUGACGUAAGUCGGAUGUGAAAUCUCGGAGCUCAACUCCGAAAUGGCAUUGGAAACUGCGUCGCUUGAGGGUCGGAGGGGGGACUGGAAUGCUCGGUGUAGCAGGGAAAUGCGUAGAGAUCGAGAGGAACACCAGUGGCGAAGGCGAGUCCCUGGACGACUCCUGACACUGAGGCACGAAAGCUAGGGGAGCAAACA